rnacentral:lncRNA from 1 species
AGGUUUAUAAAGAAUAAAUUUAUCUUUCCUAUACACAAAUAUCCAUCCAGCACAAAAUAUAACCUCUCACAAGAACAGUUUAUGUCUGGAAUAUUUGGACUGAUGUCAUAUUCAUGCAUCCAUGAUCAAAGCUCAAGUGUCAGUCUACAUGGAUUAAACCAGGGGAGCAUACCUCAAUAUCAUUUCAAGUAUACUAAUAGAAAAUAGCGGCCCAUUACAUUAGAAUUUAUGUAUAAUGGAUAAAAUCAAUUUGUUAUUUAUUUUACAGAACCAGUAGAGGAUGUCCAUAUAGAACAUGACAAGUAGAGUUGCCGAUCUGAGCUAAGAUGUGCACAAUCUGGAAAUGCAAAAUAUCUUAAGUCAUCCGGUUGUUUCCUGACUAACGGACUGCUAUUCUUCUCACAUAGCAAGUCAUUUUUUGUGUGUGAAUUCCAUUCAAUGAAAGAAUAUAGAAGGCUUAGAUAUGCUGUAUAUGCACUACUCAGUUUAUUUCGAAAGCAAAAAAAAAAGUGUGCUUGCAUGGUGGAUUACACAAAUCAAAUAGAUAACGGCAAUGAUGAAUCUUGGCAGGAAGUGCACUAACCAGUCCAGUAGCCGUGGAUGAACUUCGGGUAGGGAAACUGCAAUCGAAGUGAAUCCUUAUACCUGUAAAAUAUCAUCUCUGUCAAUAAAAAGAUGGGAAGCGAAAUAACAUUGAGGUCACAUCUGCGAAGGUAAUGAGAUACUCCAUCUGCUCGAGUACUUAAAUAUGUACGUCUUAAUUAUGACUAUUGGAGUGCUUGAUAUUCUUUAAUCAAGAUAUAGCCAUGUACUCUAAGAUCAAAUUGUAUGGAGAAGUGUUCAUAACAACAUAAGCACAUGGUAUAUGUGUGUAUAUAAAUAAAGUAUGACACAAGAGCUUAUACAGGAUAAAUGUAGAGAAGAUGUGUCAACAACAUUAAUAGGUCACUCCAUGUCAUAGUCCUUGGCCAAGGUCAGGGGACCUUGAAUCCUAGAAAUCUGUAGAGGAGGCAUCAUCAGGAGCAAUCUAUCACAACUCACAAAAUCACCCAAGAGGCAGGUACAGACUAUGUUAACCAUUUAUGUGUACAGAAUAUAUUAACUUGCACCACACCGGAGACAUUUCUCACCGGUAGCGGAUUAAUUAAUUUUCUGAUUAACACACAAGCUCGAGCCUGCUGCCGUAAUCAGCUUAUGACCAAAGGUGAAAGAAAUAGAUAAAUCACAAAAUUGGCAUAACUAUUUGCCAACUAAAAUAUAAAUAUCCUAGGUAUGCUUAAAUAUCCGACCCUGCUGCCGCAAUCAGCUUAUGAUCAAUGGUGUUUUUCAAAGCAAUAAAGGCAAGGAAAUGCUAUAAAAGAAUUAUGGCUCCAAAAAAUGCAAUAAAGGCAGCAAACUAAUGUUUUCACAUGGCUGUUUGUUGAUGUGCUAGCUACAAUUAUAGAUUGUACUAUUCAAGUUCAGGCUGUUGUGCCCACAUGUAAGGCCAUUCAAAGAGAUCAGUGUUCACAUGUAAUAUGAUGUGUUCCUCUUGAGCAUGCCAUCUACGAACGACCACCUGGAAAUAUCAGGCAGGAGAUGAGUACAUGUAAACAAGCAAUUGUGUGUAAUUAUCAGAAUUCUGACAGCUAAGACCGCUCGAAAUUUCCAACACAGUAUGAAAAAUCUUUGUUUGGCUCUUCUCUUUCCAAGUAUAGUACAUCUUCCAGGUGCAUUGUUUUCUUAACUAUUUUUCACCCACCACUCUAUAGACAGGAAAUGUGAAUCUUGAUACAUAAAUACACAUGAGCACUGUGAGUUAUCUGAUUCAGACUCGGAUAUACAUGUAACUGUAGUUUAAGAAGUUAUAGCAUCAGUUCCGGAGAAAACUCUUAAACUAUAGUACACAAUAAAAGGGGAUAUAUAAAUCACCGUACUUCAAAGGUGAUGAACUUGAUUUGGAACAGGGGCAAGUACCUGAGACGGGUGGGUAGUAAGGAAGAAUCCAACAGUAGGUGCAAACUCAUUCCCGUGCCUAAAAGGAUUGCAGACAGUGGAGAAGCAAUCAGUGGCAUAUCAUAUUGCAUCACAGAAUGGAAUCAUCCAAAACCGAACAACGUUAAUCAUUAGAACAUGUGGAAAAUGCGAGUGAAAUGAACAAAUGAUGCAAUGAAAUUUCACAAACCUAAACAGUGGAUAGCAACUUUUUCGGAUGUCCCAGAAACAGGUUAAGGGGUCAAACAGAAGAGGGAAAAUUGCAAGGCAGCAUGAUGUUGCUAAUCUAGAACUACUCCACAAAGCAAGUUUGGAUCUACUCUCAGAUCUAGUCUCAGAACUACUACACAAAGCAAGUUUCGAUCUACUCCAUAGCUUUCAUGGCCACCGUCUCUCGCUGUAGUAGUCUCGCUCAUCCUCUUUUAUUUUUUCGGUAGAUGCCCACAGCCACAACACAAUAAAAACUAUCCUUGGGCUAAUGAAAAUAUACGUGAAUACUGAAUCUGCUCAAUAGUAGAAGAGAGUUCAGUUAUCACCUCAGCUCACCUAGGAAGCAACAACUUCCAUUUCCAAGAGAAAAAUGACCAGGAAACGUAAGCCGCUAUUGGCUUGAUACCUGCAAACGACUAAUUGUUCAACACUACUUUGGGAACGAUCGCUCUGAGCAAUUAACAGUAAUAAACAAAGAACAAAAAGGAACAAAACAAAGCCAGGUUUUUUCACCUAAAAGGAAUUGUCAAAUGCAGCGAUAGCAUGCGUGCAUUUCUCUCCAAAUUGCACAUGAGCUUUGACUGUAGGGAAGAGAUAAAAUUUCCCACAAACAAACAAACGUCCACAAUAGCUGCAAGUUGCAUCUACUAUCAAAGGAACACUUAGCAUAUCUCAAAUAAAUAGGUACGAUAACCGUGAUCUCAGGAAGCGUAGGAAGAUGCAUCUUAUACUCUAGAGUUCAGAUAUAUCAAUAAUUCAUUUUAUCCGACCUCUUUGGAGUUACACUGUUAAAGGGCAUUGUUAAACUAAACAACCGUUCUUAUCCUGUAACAUGCUACUACUUAGUUGCACCCCUCUUACUCCUGACACUACGAACUCCAGUUUAUGUUGCGUAUGUUAUGCAUAUACAAACGAUGUAUAAAGCUUGAACAUGGCAAAAAAAUGCAAGGGAUUACCUGAAUAUAUGAUGCUGCAGUACACCAAUUUUUCUAACUGAAAUUAAACCUACCACUUCCUGCUCUCAGAUUUUAGUUCAUUUAUAAACUCUACAUUCUACUCAUACAAGCAUACCACAUCUAAUGUUCUGCUAUAACCCAGAUUAUUGUUACCUUACUAAACUCAUAAUUAUUAUCAGUUUAUAAUGGAAAUAAAAUACCCUAACGCAACCCCUAGUAAAUGACAUUACGAACUGCGGUGUAUGUGUGUGCUGCUAUGAUUCAGAUAACUGAACUCUGUUCUACUAUUGAGCAGGUUCAGUACAAGAUUUGGAAGUAUAUAGUGGUAACUAAUAAAAAUUUGGAAGUAUAAAAGGAAUCAUACAACCUGCAAGAUCUACUAUAGCCAAGCAAAAGUGGUAUUGUUAAGCAUUGGUAAAUAACUAAAUAUAGUAAAGGACAAAAUGACUUGGCAAAAGCAAUCAACACAACAAAAAGAGAGAUGCAAGUCAGCGAUAAUUAGUUGUCGUACUGUUCUUUUGAAACUAUACAUAUCUGUAAUGUUCUUUUGAAACUAUACAUAUCUGUACCAGUUGACCAUGACUGCACAAAUCUACAUGAUAACAUGUUUUCAAAACAUAUCCUGAAGGGAAAAUGGACCGCAUGAAAGAAACAGGCGCAAUCAUCCAUGGAUAGCAGGAUUGUACAGCAUGCUAAACUACAGUAAAAUGGAAUAUAUAAGUUAUAUCACAAUCCGUCUAAAUGUGCAAGAAACAGUUUUCUUACAUAGUUUUAUAUGUACUGUGCAUCUCCCUGCAAUAUUCAGUACCAAGCAGGCUGUAAAUGUCAUGGGUACGAUACAGUCUAUUACUCUGAUUUCGAUAAGCUCUUUACACAUAUUAUAGGAUAAAAAUAUUCUUAAAACGAGAUGGAAGUUUUUAAACAAAUCGUCAUCAAUGGAAAUUAUUUGCAUACUGAAAGAUAUAUUGAGCCUUAC